UACGUAGGUGGCAAGCGUUGUCCGGAUUUAUUGGGUUUAAAGGGUGCGUAGGCGGUUUUAUAAGUCAGUGGUGAAAUACAAUAGCUUAACUAUUGAGGUGCCAUUGAUACUGUAAGACUUGAGUACAGACGAGGUAGGCGGAAUUGACGGUGUAGCGGUGAAAUGCUUAGAUAUCGUCAAGAACACCGAUAGCGAAGGCAGCUUACUAGACUGUAACUGACGCUGAGGCACGAAAGUGUGGGGAUCAAACAGGAUUAGAAACCCUAGUAGU
rnacentral:rRNA from 1 species